GUGGUCAUUUUUAUUCCCUCAAAUAGUUAGUUGAUACUUCUAAACCUCCUAAAAAGGUUUUCGUUAUUUCGAAUGUUUGUGUAUCGAAAAGAUUUUCAUAAUUAUUUAAUAUUUUCAGAAGUAAUCAGAUGUGUUCCUCUCGCUACAACCAUCGAUAAGUUAAUUACUGAAUAAUCUACGUUUUGGUGUCAGUGGACAAGAAGAUAAUUCGUUAAACAUUCCGAAAAUAUGUACUCGACAUAUCUCGAACUUUUUAGAGUAGAAGGAGGUAAAGGAGGUUCUGAUAAGAUUGAUGAGCGUCAGUUACGAUAUUCGUAUGUCCUUGCUUGUUCUGAAAAUAGAGAGGCUUGGUAAGGUUAGAAUUGUUCUACCUAGGUUCUAGUUGCAUUGUGAAAAUAAGAUAUACUCAUGGAACGAUCCAAGAAGGUAUCAUCGAAUCACUUACUUUUACAUUAACGCAAUAAUAAAUGAGUUUUGUUACGAAAUAAAAGAUGUGUAGGAUAGAGCAAUGGGAAUGUUAUUUGCAUUAUUAACUACUGUUUUGUAUAUCUAGUUUUAUUGUACUGCUGCCGCAUUUUUUGUAUUAU